GAUGAACGCUGGCGGCGUGCCUAAUACAUGCAAGUCGAGCGAACAGAUAAGGUGCUUGCUCCUUUGACGUUAGCGGCGGACGGGUGAGUAACACGUGGAUAACCUACCUAUAAGACUGGGAUAACUUCGGGAAACCGGAGCUAAUACCGGAUAAGAUUUUGAACCGCAUGGUUCAAUAGUGAAAGACGGCCUUGCUGUCACUUAUAGAUGGAUCCGCGCCGUAUUAGCUAGUUGGUAAGGUAACGGCUUACCAAGGCAACGAUACGUAGCCGACCUGAGAGGGUGAUCGGUCACACUGGAACUGAGACACGGUCCAGACUCCUACGGGAGGCAGCAGUAGGGAAUCUUCCGCAAUGGGCGAAAGCCUGACGGAGCAACGCCGCGUGAGUGAUGAAGGUCUUCGGAUCGUAAAACUCUGUUAUCAGGGAAGAACAAACGUGUAAGUAACUGUGCACGUCUUGACGGUACCUGAUCAGAAAGCCACGGCUAACUACGUG
rnacentral:rRNA from 1 species